rnacentral:rRNA from 1 species
AGUGAAGCGGCAAAAGCUCAAAUUUGAAAUCCUUCGGGAGUUGUAAUUUGUAGGUUGGGAGACCCCGCGGCUAGUGGCACCAAGUCCCUUGGAACAGGGCGCCUUAGAGGGUGAGAGCCCCGUAGGUACCACAACACCGUCUUGUGUCUCCUCUCCAAAGAGUCGAGUUGUUUGGGAAUGCAGCUCAAAGUGGGUGGUAAAUUCCAUCUAAAGCUAAAUACCGGCGAGAGACCGAUAGCGAACAAGUACAGUGAUGGAAAGAUGAAAAGCACUUUGAAAAGAGAGUGAAACAGUACGUGAAAUUGUUGAAAGGGAAGGGCUUGCAAGCAGACACGGCCUUCGUGCCGGGCCAGCAUCGGUUGCUAGGGGUGGAUAAGGAACAAGGAAUGUAGCUCCUCGGAGUAUUAUAGCCUUGCGCGAUACACCCACUGGCGACCGAGGCCUGCGGUAUUCUUUACCUAGGAUGCUGGCGUAAUGGUUGCAAGCCGCCCGUCUUG